GAAGACAAAGGUGGAUUUGCAGAGAAACCUAACAGUUGUUAUCAGUGAAAUGUGACUUUUUUCGAUUUGAUGUGUUAUCAUGUGCAGCACUGGGUGUUUCUGAAGUCAGAUUAAAACAUAGACUCGCUUACAUUUAGUUUCUUGCAUUUGUUUGACUGUUUUCCAACAGGUUAUGGUGAUGAAGGAGUGGGAAAUGUGUGUAUCCCAGAUUCCAGUGUGGAGUUGAAUGUUGACAUGUGUCCUCCACACAGCACUGGGAGGAUGACUCUAUGUUUGUGUGAAGGUUGGAGUUCUCCUCAUCCUUCUGCUGUUGGAUCAUAGACUGUCAACAACAUGGACUCCAUAGACUUGGACUGAACUC